rnacentral:tRNA from 1 species
UCCCUGGAGGACUAGUGGUUAGGCAUCAAUGCUCUCACCGCUGCUAACCAGGUUCGACUCCUGGCCAGGAAA